CGGUGAGGUGACUUGUCUGGUUAAUUCCGAUAACGGACGAGACCUCGACCUACUAAAUAGCAAACUGUGGUUACACGGUAAUUGCUUCUUAGAGGGACAUUGAGAGUUUAUCUCAAGGAGGUUCGAGCCUAUAACA
rnacentral:rRNA from 1 species